AUGGUCAGCUUGGUUCCCUGGCUGGUUGCCGCGGCAUCAGCACCUGCAUCCUGGAAAUUCAUCCCACCAAAUGCACUGGAUAUGUCAUCCAUUGAGGACUCCACUGAAGAGACGCUGCCACAAUCUGCAGAAUUGCGACAUUGUUCGCCGACGAUCAAAAAUUCUGUUUCUGGAAUUCAUUCAAUGUGGUGGAAACUGAAACUGGAAAGAAACAAUGGAUUUCAGGAAGAGAAAUUCACCUUUAGACAUGUUGCAUUCGUAUUUUGGACCCAGCUCCUCGGAGAUAUCAGACCUGUCGCAGGCACCAGAGUCCUCCUCCUCUGCUUCUUGUUGAUCGACCCAAGAAGCCUCCCCCUCUUGUUGACCAAUCUGCUCCUUGCGUCCGGGAGAGGGAGGGGGAGAGCUCGCCGUGCCCGGCAGGUCGGCGAAGCCGUCCGAGAUGACGUCGCUGGACCCGCAGGAGCCGUCCACCGAGGCGCCCGGGUCGGCCCACUCGUGGGUCAUCCCGCACCGGAGACCCCGGCGGCCGAAGUUGACGUAGGGAGACUCCGCCUCCUCGGCGGAGAGGCCGCUGCAGCAGGAGCCCGAGCUCGCCGUCUUGGGGCGGGCGCCGGCGCCGGCGCCGGGACACGCCACCUGGACGAAGAACCCGUCGUCCCCUUUGCCGGCGGCAUUGCUGGUGCUUGUAUUCUUGGUCUUGGGGUCGCGGAAGGCGGAGACGCCCCGGUGCUUCAUGCUCUGCUCCGUCUUGAUGAGGCGCCUCCGGGACGCCAGGAAGGCCCCCAGCGGCGGCGCCGCGGGCGCGUGGCCCUUGAAGGUGCAGUAGGCGUACCGGCACGCGCGGUGCCCCUCGCCGCCGCACCCGCCGGCCCCGCCUCCGCGGGCGCUCUUCUGCGCGGAGGAGCACGUGGCCCUGGCCGCGCGCGGCGUACUCGCAACGAGGGCCGCCGCCUUGGCCCCCACCGGCUGCGCGGCGGGAGCGGAGGCCGCCGAAACAGCCGCAGAUGCAACCUCCCGGCCGGCCCUGGCGCCGGAGCUGCUGGUCGGCCUCAUGUACCCGGGGUCCGACGCCGCGGGCGCGGCCCCGCCCCCGGCGCGCGCGCGACCGGCCGUCCCGGGGACGGCGGCGGCAUCUUGGGGCCUCCUGCGCGGCUGCUUGCAGUGCACCAUGGCGGGCGGCGGCGGCGGCCAAGAAAGGAAAGAAAGGUGGAGAUUGGGGUUGGUUCGGGGUUGUGA
rnacentral:rRNA from 1 species